rnacentral:rRNA from 1 species
UGGGGAAUAUUGGACAAUGGGCGAAAGCCUGAUCCAGCAAUACCGCGUGAAUGAUGAAGGCCUUAGGGUUGUAAAGUUCUUUUAGCAGGGAAGAUAAUGACGGUACCUGCAGAAAAAGCCCCGGCUAACUCCGUGCCAGCAGCCGCGGUAAGACGGAGGGGGCUAGCGUUGUUCGGAAUUACUGGGCGUAAAGAGCGCGUAGGCGGUUUAGUAGGUUGGAAGUGAAAGCCCGGGGCUUAACCUCGGAAUUGCUUUCAAAACUGCUAGGCUAGAGUGUAGUAGGGGAUGAUGGAAUUCCUAGUGUAGAGGUGAAAUUCUUAGAUAUUAGGAGGAACACCGGUGGCGAAGGCGGUCAUCUGGGCUACAACUGACGCUGAGGCGCGAAAGCGUGGGGAGCAAAC